rnacentral:rRNA from 1 species
CCGGCGAUGUCCGAAUGGGGAAACCCAGUGCAAUUCGUUGCACUAUCGUUAACUGAAUACAUAGGUUAACGAGGCGAACCGGGGGAACUGAAACAUCUAAGUACCCCGAGGAAAAGAAAUCAACCGAGAUUCCCCCAGUAGCGGCGAGCGAACGGGGAGCAGCCCAGAGUCUGAAUCAGCUUGUGUGUUAGUGGAACGGUCUGGAAAGUCCGACGGUACAGGGUGAUAGUCCCGUACACCAAAAUGCACAGGCUGUGAACUCGAAGAGUAGGGCGGGACACGUGGUAUCCUGUCUGAAUAUGGGGGGACCAUCCUCCAAGGCUAAAUACUCCUGACUGACCGAUAGUGAACCAGUACCGUGAGGGAAAGGCGAAAAGAACCCCGGCGAGGGGAGUGAAAAAGAACCUGAAACCGUGUACGUACAAGCAGUGGGAGCACCUUCGGGUGUGACUGCGUACCUUUUGUAUAAUGGGUCAGCGACUUAUAUUCUGUAGCAAGGUUAACCGUAUAGGGGAGCCGCAGGGAAACCGAGUCUUAACUGGGCGUUAAGUUGCAGGGUAUAGACCCGAAACCCGGUGAUCUAGCCAUGGGCAGGUUGAAGGUUGGGUAACACUAACUGGAGGACCGAACCGACUAAUGUUGAAAAAUUAGCGGAUGACUUGUGGCUGGGGGUGAAAGGCCAAUCAAACCGGGAGAUAGCUGGUUCUCCCCGAAAGCUAUUUAGGUAGCGCCUCGUGAACUCAUCUUCGGGGGUAGAGCACUGUUUCGGCUAGGGGGUCAUCCCGACUUACCAACCCGAUGCAAACUACGAAUACCGAAGAAUGUUAUCACGGGAGACACACGGCGGGUGCUAACGUCCGUCGUGAAGAGGGAAACAACCCAGACCGCCAGCUAAGGUCCCAAAGUCAUGGUUAAGUGGGAAACGAUGUGGGAAGGCACAGACAGCCAGGAUGUUGGCUUAGAAGCAGCCAUCAUUUAAAGAAAGCGUAAUAGCUCACUGGUCGAGUCGGCCUGCGCGGAAGAUGUAACGGGGCUAAACCAUGCACCGAAGCUGCGGCAGCGACACUAUGUGUUGUUGGGUAGGGGAGCGUUCUGUAAGCCUGCGAAGGUGUGCUGUGAGGCAUGCUGGAGGUAUCAGAAGUGCGAAUGCUGACAUAAGUAACGAUAAAGCGGGUGAAAAGCCCGCUCGCCGGAAGACCAAGGGUUCCUGUCCAACGUUAAUCGGGGCAGGGUGAGUCGACCCCUAAGGCGAGGCCGAAAGGCGUAGUCGAUGGGAAACAGGUUAAUAUUCCUGUACUUGGUGUUACUGCGAAGGGGGGACGGAGAAGGCUAUGUUAGCCGGGCGACGGUUGUCCCGGUUUAAGCAUGUAGGCUGAUUGUCCAGGCAAAUCCGGAUAAUCAAGGCUGAGGUGUGAUGACGAGGCACUACGGUGCUGAAGUAACAAAUGCCCUGCUUCCAGGAAAAGCCUCUAAGCAUCAGGUAACAUCAAAUCGUACCCCAAACCGACACAGGUGGUCAGGUAGAGAAUACCAAGGCGCUUGAGAGAACUCGGGUGAAGGAACUAGGCAAAAUGGUGCCGUAACUUCGGGAGAAGGCACGCUGGUGUGUAGGUGAAGCCCCUGCGGGUGGAGCUGAGACCAGUCGAAGAUACCAGCUGGCUGCAACUGUUUAUUAAAAACACAGCACUGUGCAAACACGAAAGUGGACGUAUACGGUGUGACGCCUGCCCGGUGCCGGAAGGUUAAUUGAUGGGGUUAUCCGUAAGGAGAAGCUCUUGAUCGAAGCCCCGGUAAACGGCGGCCGUAACUAUAACGGUCCUAAGGUAGCGAAAUUCCUUGUCGGGUAAGUUCCGACCUGCACGAAUGGCGUAAUGAUGGCCAGGCUGUCUCCACCCGAGACUCAGUGAAAUUGAACUCGCUGUGAAGAUGCAGUGUACCCGCGGCAAGACGGAAAGACCCCGUGAACCUUUACUAUAGCUUGACACUGAACAUUGAGCCUUGAUGUGUAGGAUAGGUGGGAGGCUUUGAAGCGUGGACGCCAGUCUGCGUGGAGCCAACCUUGAAAUACCACCCUUUAAUGUUUGAUGUUCUAACGUUGGCCCCUUACCGGGGUUGCGGACAGUGUCUGGUGGGUAGUUUGACUGGGGCGGUCUCCUCCCAAAGCGUAACGGAGGAGCACGAAGGUUAGCUAAUCCUGGUCGGACAUCAGGAGGUUAGUGCAAUGGCAUAAGCUAGCUUGACUGCGAGCGUGACGGCGCGAGCAGGUGCGAAAGCAGGUCAUAGUGAUCCGGUGGUUCUGAAUGGAAGGGCCAUCGCUCAACGGAUAAAAGGUACUCCGGGGAUAACAGGCUGAUACCGCCCAAGAGUUCAUAUCGACGGCGGUGUUUGGCACCUCGAUGUCGGCUCAUCACAUCCUGGGGCUGAAGUAGGUCCCAAGGGUAUGGCUGUUCGCCAUUUAAAGUGGUACGCGAGCUGGGUUUAGAACGUCGUGAGACAGUUCGGUCCCUAUCUGCCGUGGGCGCUGGAGAAUUGAGGGGGGCUGCUCCUAGUACGAGAGGACCGGAGUGGACGCAUCACUGGUGUUCGGGUUGUCAUGCCAAUGGCACUGCCCGGUAGCUAAAUGCGGAAGAGAUAAGUGCUGAAAGCAUCUAAGCACGAAACUUGCCCCGAGAUGAGUUCUCCCUGAGACUUUAAGUCUCCUGAAGGAACGUU